GCUUACGGCCAUACCACCCUGAAUGCGCCCGAUCUCGUCUGAUCUCGGCAGCUAAGCAGGGUCAGGCCUGGUUAGUACUUGGAUGGGUGACCGCCUGGGAAUACCAGGUGCUGUAAGCU
rnacentral:rRNA from 1 species